GUGCCAGCCACCGCGGUACUACCGGCAGCUCAAGUGAUGUCCCAUAUUAUUGGGCCUAAAGCGUCCGUAGCUGGCCGCGCAAGUCCAUCGGGAAAUCCACCUGCUCAACAGGUGGGCGCCCGGUGGAAACUGUGCGGCUUGGGACCGGAAGGCGCGACGGGUACGUCCGGGGUAGGAGUGAAAUCCCAUAAUCCCGCACGGACCACCGAUGGCGAAAGCACUUCGAGAAAACGGAUCCGACAGUGAGGGACGAAAGCCAGGGUCUCCAACCGGAUUAGAAACCCUUGUAGUCC
rnacentral:rRNA from 1 species